rnacentral:rRNA from 1 species
AACGGCGAAGAGGACUUCGGUCCUCGGAGCAGUGGCGGACGGGUGAGUAACGCGUGAGCAACCUGCCUUUAAAGGGGGAUAGCGACUGGAAACGGUCGGUAAUACCGCAUAAGACCACGACCUCACAUGAGGAAGUGAUCAAAGGAGCAAUCCGCUUAAAGAUGGGCUCGCGUCUGAUUAGAUAGUUGGUAGGGUAACGGCCUACCAAGUCUGCGAUCAGUAGCCGGACUGAGAGGUUGAACGGCCACAUUGGAACUGAGAUACGGUCCAGACUCC